rnacentral:rRNA from 1 species
AUUGAACGCUGGCGGCAGGCCUAACACAUGCAAGUCGAACGAGUGGCGGACGGGUGAGUAAUGUCUGGGAAACUGCCUGAUGGAGGGGGAUAACUACUGGAAACGGUAGCUAAUACCGCAUACCAUCAGAUGUGCCCAGUUGGGAUUAGCUUGUUGGGGGGGUAACGGCUCACCAAGGCGACGAUCCCUAGCUGGUCUGGGAGGAUGACCGGCCACACUGGAAUUGGGACACGGUCCAGAUGCCAACGGGGGGAAGCAGUGGGGAUUAUUGCACAAUGGGCGAAAGCCUGAUGCAGCAAUGCCGCGUGUAUGAAGAAGGCCUUCGGGUUGUAAAGUACUUUCAGCGGGGAGGCGUUACCCGCAGAAGAAGCACCGGCUAACUCCGUGCCAGCAGCCGCGUAAUUC